rnacentral:tRNA from 1 species
UCCCAUAUGGUCUAGCGGUCAGGAUUCUUGGUUUUCACCCAGGCGGCCGGGUUCGACUCCGGUAUGGGAA